CCUACGGGUGGCAGCAGUGAGGAAUAUUGGUCAAUGGGGGGAACCCUGAUCCAGCGACGCCGCGUGAGUGAAGAAGUAUUUCGGUAUGUAAAGCUCUAUCAGCAGGGAAGAAAGAAAUGACGGUACCUGACUAAGAAGCCCCGGCUAACUACGUGCCAGCAGCCGCGGUAAUACGUAGGGGGCAAGCGUUAUCCGGAUUUACUGGGUGUAAAGGGGGCGUAGACGGCGAUGCAAGUCUGAAGUGAAAGGCGGGGGCCCAACCCCCGGACUGCUUUGGAAACUGUAUGGCUGGAGUGCAGGAGAGGUAAGUGGAAUGCCUAGUGUAGCGGUGAAAUGCGUAGAUAUUAGGAGGAACACCAGUGGCGAAGGCGGCUUACUGGACUGUAACUGACGUUGAGGCUCGAAAGCGUGGGGAGCAAACAGGAUUAGAUACCCCAGUAGUC
rnacentral:rRNA from 1 species